UUCAUCCGGGACCUCUCAGCCUUCAGGAAGUGAAUGCGGCCAGCGCCUUCAUCCGGGACCUCUCAGCCUUCAGGAAGUGAAUGCGGCCAGCGCCUUCAUCCGGGACCUCUCAGCCUUCAGGAAGUGAAUGCGGCCAGCGCCUUCAUCCGGGACCUCUCAGCCUUCAGGAAGUGAAUGCGGCCAGCGCCUUCAUCCGGGACCUCUCAGCCUUCAGGAAGUGAAUGUGACCAGCACCUUCAUCUAGGACCUCUCAGCCUUCAGAGCUGCAGGAAGGUUCUAAUAAUGUGCCCAUUGCCAGACACUUUGUUAUAGCAGCUCAAACAGACUGAGAUAAUUAAAGAACGCUGCUUCUCCCCUGAGGCCAGUCAUAGUAUCCUGCUGGGUCUGUCUUUAUACAUCCAAACCCGUUACAGGGCUGAUCAGAGGCAGGCCACCAAGUCAGGCAGCAGAGAGAACAAUGGGAAUGCUGGGGUUCUAGAGCUGGAGUCAGAAGCAAUAUCUCCAGGGCCAAACCCCUGCUGCGUGCCAAGCAGCUACUCCACCAAGAAAGCUAUGAGCUUGUUUUAAGCCAAGUCUGAUUCUCACCAGAUCUCUGGACCAACAUAAAUGGGAAGACUCUGGGCAGUAGCCCAAGACCCACGCUUUCUUUGUAGACUGAAGUGGACUACACACGUCUGCCAUCGGGAAAUAAAGACACCUAGCUAAUGAUGCUAUUUAAAUCAUUAGAUCAGUUCCUUCCUCGGGUGUAUGGAGUCAGCUCAUGCUGGCUCCUCAAAGGCAAUUCAUAACACCUUGUCCCCACCAGAUGCUAUGCUAAU